rnacentral:piRNA from 1 species
UUCAAGAGCCUUGGUUUAGGAAUCUUGAG